rnacentral:rRNA from 1 species
GGGGAAUAUUGGACAAUGGGGGGAACCCUGAUCCAGCCAUGCCGCGUGUGUGAAGAAGGCCUUAUGGUUGUAAAGCACUUUAAGCGAGGAGGAGGCUCUUUUGGUUAAUACCCAAGAUGAGUGGACGUUACUCGCAGAAUAAGCACCGGCUAACUCUGUGCCAGCAGCCGCGGUAAUACAGAGGGUGCGAGCGUUAAUCGGAAUUACUGGGCGUAAAGCGUGCGUAGGUGGUUGUUUAAGUCUGUCGUGAAAGCCCUGGGCUCAACCUGGGAAUGGCGAUGGAAACUGGGCGACUAGAGUGUGGCAGAGGGUAGUGGAAUUCCUGGUGUAGCAGUGAAAUGCGUAGAGAUCAGGAGGAACAUCCGUGGCGAAGGCGACUGCCUGGGCCAACACUGACACUGAGGCACGAAAGCGUGGGGAGCAAACA